rnacentral:rRNA from 1 species
UACGUAGGGUGCAAGCGUUGUCCGGAAUUAUUGGGCGUAAAGAGCUCGUAGGCGGUUUGUUGCGUCGGCUGUGAAAUCCCGAGGCUCAACCUCGGGUCUGCAGUCGAUACGAGCAAACUAGAGUGUUGCAGGGGAGACUGGAAUUCCUGGUGUAGCGGUGAAAUGCGCAGAUAUCAGGAGGAACACCGGUGGCGAAGGCGGGUCUCUGGGCAACAACUGACGCUGAGAAGCGAAAGCGUGGGUAGCAAACAGG